UACGGGGGGGGCAAGCGUUGCUCGGAAUCACUGGGCGUAAAGGGUGCGUAGGCGGCCGUGUAAGUCUGGCGUGAAAGCCCCGGGCUCAGCCCGGGAAGUGCGCUCGAAACUGCGCGGCUCGAGUGCCGGAGGGGAGAGUGGAAUUCCUGGUGUAGCGGUGAAAUGCGUAGAUAUCAGGAGGAAUACCGGUGGCGAAAGCGACUCUCUGGACGGCAACUGACGCUGAGGCACGAAAGCGUGGGGAGCAAACAGG
rnacentral:rRNA from 1 species